rnacentral:rRNA from 1 species
AUCAAAAACAUGGUUUUCUGGGAAAAUAGAAAAUCUGGUCUGCUCUAUGAAUUAAUUUAAAUGGGCUGCAGUAAUUUUGACUGUACUAAGGUAGCAUAAUAAAUAGCUUAUUGAUUGUAAGCUUGGAUGAAAGAUUUAAUGAAAUAUAAACUUUAUUAAAUUAAAAGAAAGAAUUUUAUUUUUGAGUAAAAAAGCUUAAAUAUUAAUGGGGGACGAGAAGACCCUAUAGACUUUUAUAGGUGUCUGUAUUGAUUUUAUUUAAAUAGUGGGAACUAAACGGGAGUUAUUUAGAUGGGGAAUCUUAAAAAUAAUGAAAUUUUUUAAUUUAAAGACAUGAAUGGAUGAUUAAAUGAUAAGAAAGAGAUGAGUAAAACAGAAGUACCUUAGGGAUAACAGCAUAAUAUUUUUAUUUAGAUCUUAUAAAUAAGAGUGGUUGUGACCUCGAUGU